rnacentral:rRNA from 1 species
AUUGAACGCUAGCGGGAUGCUUUACACAUGCAAGUCGAACGAGUGGCGGACGGGUGAGUAAUAUAUCGGAACGUGCCCAGUAGCGGGGGAUCACUACUCGAAAGAGUGGCUAAUACCGCAUACUAUUGGAGCGGCCGAUAGCGGAUUAGCUAGUUGGUGGGGGAAAGGCUCACCAAGGGUACGAUCCGUAGCUGGUUUGAGAGGACGACUGGCAACGAUGGGACGGAGAGACGGCCAAGAGUCGUACGGGGGGGAGAAGUGGGGAAUUUUGGAAAAUGGGGGAAGCCCUGAGCCAGCCAGCUCGCGUGGAUGAGAAGGCCGUAGGGUUGUAAAACUCUGUCGCUAGCGAACGGGUAGGUGUAGAAGAAGCGCCGGCUAACUACGUGCCAGCAGCCGCGGUAAUUC